rnacentral:misc_RNA from 1 species
AUGGACUACUGGGGUUUCUAAUCCUGUUUGCUCCCCACGCUUUCGCACCUCAGCGUCAAUACUUGUCCAGUCAGUCGCCUUCGCCACUGGUGUUCUUCCGAAUAUCUACGAAUUUCACCUCUACACUCGGAAUUCCACUGACCUCUCCAAGAUUCCAGUCAUCUAGUUUCAAAGGCAGUUCCGGGGUUGAGCCCCGGGCUUUCACCUCUGACUUGAAUAACCGCCUACGUGCGCUUUACGCCCAGUAAUUCCGAACAACGCUAGCUCCCUCCGUAUUACCGCGGCGGCUGGCACCA